AGUGAACGCUGGCGGUAGGCCUAACACAUGCAAGCCGAACGGCAGCACAGUAAGAGCUUGCUCUUACGGGUGGCGAGUGGCGGACGGGUGAGGAAUACAUCGGAAUCUACUUUUUCGUGGGGGAUAACGUAGGGAAACUUACGCUAAUACCGCAUACGACCUACGGGUGAAAGCAGGGGAUCUUCGGACCUUGCGCGAUUGAAUGAGCCGAUGUCGGAUUAGCUAGUUGGCGGGGUAAAGGCCCACCAAGGCGACGAUCCGUAGCUGGUCUGAGAGGAUGAUCAGCCACACUGGAACUGAGACACGGUCCAGACUCCUACGGGGGGCAGCAGUGGGGAAUAUUGGACAAUGGGCGCAAGCCUGAUCCAGCCAUACCGCGUGGGUGAAGAAGGCCUUCGGGUUGUAAAGCCCUUUUGUUGGGAAAGAAAAGCAGCAGGUUAAUACCCCGCUGUUCUGACGGUACCCAAAGAAUAAGCACCGGCUAACUUCGUG
rnacentral:rRNA from 1 species